rnacentral:rRNA from 1 species
UGAGGAAUAUUGGUCAAUGGGUGCAAGCCUGAACCAGCCAUCCCGCGUGAAGGACGACUGCCCUAUGGGUUGUAAACUUCUUUUGUAUAGGGAUAAACCUACCCUCGUGAGGGUAGCUGAAGGUACUAUACGAAUAAGCACCGGCUAACUCCGUGCCAGCAGCCGCGGUAAUACGGAGGGUGCAAGCGUUAUCCGGAUUUAGUGGGUUUAAAGGGUCCGUAGGCGGACUUAUAAGUCAGUUGUGAAAGCCUGUCGCUUAACGAUAGAACUGGCAUUGAUACUGUAAGUCUUGAGUAUAUUUGAGGUAGCUGGAAUAAGUAGUGUAGCGGUGAAAUGCAUAGAUAUUACUGAGAACACGAAUUGCGAAGGCAGGUUACCAAGAUAUAACUGACGCUGAGGGACGAAAGCGUGGGGAGCGAACA